AAAUUCCGAAAAUUUCCGAAAAAUUUCCGAAAAUUUCCGAAAAUUCCGAAAAUGAAGAUUUCCGAAAAAUUCCGAUUUUCCGAAAAUUCCGAAAAAAUCGGAAUCGGAAUCACUUUUUGAAUUCCGAAAAAAUCGGAAUCGGAAUCGGAAGUCGUUUUGGACUUCCGAAAAAAAUCGGAAAUUUUCCGAAACACCCAAAUCCGAUCCGAUCCGUCCGAUUUCCACCCCUAU
rnacentral:lncRNA from 1 species